CCGUCUUCUCCCCCUCCCCCUCUGCGAAAAAAGUUAAUUGUUUCCUAUAUACUAUUAUUGUUUUAACUAAUUAUUCCUAACUAGAAAUAAACCUGACUUUGAGUUUGUUCUUUACAGGUUGUUUUGAAUUGGUUGAUAAAUCUCACAAGGACCCAUAUGAUCCAAUGGUGCCUCCUGAAAUUAUAGAUUUGAUUGACAAAACGUUCUUAUUCGAGAUUGAAGUUGACAACGAUUCCAAUUCCAGGUUCAAGUCAUCCUAUAAGGACCUGAAUGAAGAAUUUAUUGUCGAGUAGUUGUUGAUCUUCGCAAAGACACUCAGGUCUAUACACCCCUAAUUAAUUCUAUUGUACCUACUGGAAAGGUGUUAGACUCUUCUAAUUCAAAUAUUACGUCUAUUUCUCCUGUUGUUGACUUGAGUUCGGAUACUCAGCGAAUCUCUCAUGUCCCUUCUGAUCCAACUCCAAAAGUUAAAAUUGUUGGAGAUAAGUCUGCAAAACUUGGUAUGACCUUAAAAGAGAUUGAACCUGCUGGUGAAUUGGACAUCAAUAAGUCUGCUGAUUCUGAUGGUUCCAGUGGCGAGCAAUCUCCUCGAGCUACUGCUGUUCCUCUUGCUUGCAUUAGUUCAACUAAAAAAUCUACUAAAACAUAUUUGAAGUCUAAGGAAAAGAUGAAGAGUGUUGGUGUUGAAUCUGCUAAAGCUAUCCAAGUUGCUGAAACUGCUAAAGAGACUGAAGUGGAUGUAUCUUUUGAAAGCCAGAUUUCCCCUCCUUCCAAGCGUCCAUCCCCCUGAUGCCGAAGUUGUUGGAGUCUCAGUUGCUGGCAAGAAACCCCUGAAAGCAAUGAAAAAGGAGAAGAUCUGAAGACUGUUUUUUGUUGUGUUGGCUGUUUUGAUGUUUUGUUAUUGUGGUUGUCUUUUCAAGCUGUUAAGUGUGUUGUUUUGUAGUCCUGGAUGUUAGUUAGUUCGUCAGUGUGGUGUUUUCCAUUUUUUCAGUUUCAUUUCAAUCUUAAUGUUUAAUCUGCCUAUUAUUAGUAUGUUUUGGGAUGGCAGAUUAGUUUAUUUAGGUCUCUGUUUCGUUGUCUUUUGGUCCGAACGAAAAUGAAUUGUCUCAGUGCAUGAUUUAAUCUAUACAA